AGAGUGUGAGGAUCCCUUAAUUCUGUAAAUGAACUCCCACAAGACUCAGGCUCACCUCUGAGCUGCAGGACGGAACAAAAGUAGCACAGCAAAAGUAUUGAAAACUGACCUAACAAUGGGACCUCUGUGAGCAGGAAGCAGCAGGCAGAACUUGUACUUGGAACCUAAUCAGGAAGAAGACCUGCUACAACCAACACCAGCACUGUGCAGAGGGUCACUGCAGCACCCGGAACCUGACAUGAAAUUCACAAUCUCCACGAGAUAAGGCACAGCCAAAACAGCACGGGAUGACAAAACCUGAACUUGCUAUGGGAAUUUCCAAACAGAUAAGAACUUAAGAACUUUGCAAACACACCCCAGGUUGAAAGACAAGAGAAACUUGAAGAAAAUAGCCAGUGAAAAUAUGAGCACCUUUCUUAAAAGGUCCUCAUAAGAACUGCAACACAAAAGAGACCAAGGCCCUGACUGUCUUCUAUUCAACAGAAUCAGUACUCAGAUGAGUGCCAUCAAGAUCUCUUUAGUCUCCAUAAGUGAUUGCAAACACUUGACAAUCAAGA